rnacentral:rRNA from 1 species
AUUGAACGCUGGCGGCAGGCCUAACACAUGCAAGUCGAGCGAGCGGCAGACGGGUGAGUAAUGUAUGGGGACUUCCCUAUAGCGGGGGAUAACUUCGGGAAACGGUGGAUAAUACCGCAUACUAUCGCCUGCCCCAUAUGGGAUUAGCGAGUAGGUGGGGUAAAGGCUCACCUCGGCGACGCUCUCUAGCUGGUCUGAGAGGAUGAUCAGCCACACGUGGACUGAGACACGGCCCAUACUCAUACGGAGGCAGCAGUGGGGAAUAUUGGACAAUGGGCGCAAGCCUGAUGCAGACAUGCCGCGGGUAUGAAGAAGGCCUUAGGGUUGUAAAGUACGUUCAGCGGGGAGGCGUUACACGCAGAAGAAGCACCGGCUAACGCCGUGCCAGCAGCCGCGGUAAUAC